rnacentral:rRNA from 1 species
UACGUAGGGUGCGAGCGUUGUCCGGAAUUAUUGGGCGUAAAGAGCUUGUAGGCGGUUUGUCGCGUCUGCUGUGAAAUUUCGGGGCUCAACCCCGAACUUGCAGUGGGUACGGGCAGACUAGAGUGUGGUAGGGGAGACUGGAAUUCCUGGUGUAGCGGUGAAAUGCGCAGAUAUCAGGAGGAACACCGAUGGCGAAGGCAGGUCUCUGGGCCACUACUGACGCUGAGACGCGAAAGCGUGGGGAGCGAACAGG